rnacentral:rRNA from 1 species
GACGAACGCUGGCGGCGUGCUUAACACAUGCAAGUCGAACGGAAAGGCCCUGCUUUUGUGGGGUGCUCGAGUGGCGAACGGGUGAGUAACACGUGAGUAACCUGCCCUUGACUUUGGGAUAACUUCAGGAAACUGGGGCUAAUACCGGAUAGGAGCUCCUGCUGCAUGGUGGGGGUUGGAAAGCUUCGGCGGUUGGGGAUGGACUCGCGGCUUAUCAGCUGGUUGGUGGGGUAGUGGCUUACCAAGGCUUUGACGGGUAGCCGGCCUGAGAGGGUGACAGGCCACAUUGGGACAGAGAGGAGACGCAGGCUCACAGGCGGGGAAGCAAUGGGCAUUAUCGCAGGAGGGGCGGAGGCCUAGUGCAGCAACGCCGCGUGCGGGAAGAGGGCCGUCGGGUUGGAAACCGAUUUCGCCUGUGACGAAGCGUGAGUGACGGUAAUGCGUGAAGAAGCACCGGCUAACAUGGG